AGAGAAUUUAGCAGAGAUGCUUUAGUGCCUUCGGGAACUCUGAGACAGGUGCUGCAUGGCUGUCGUCAGCUCGUGUUGUGAAAUGUUGGGUUAAGUCCCGCAACGAGCGCAACCCUUAUCCUUUGUUGCCAGCACGUAAUGGUGGGAACUCAAAGGAGACUGCCGGUGAUAAACCGGAGGAAGGUGGGGAUGACGUCAAGUCAUCAUGGCCCUUACGAGUAGGGCUACACACGUGCUACAAUGGCGCAUACAAAGAGAAGCGACCUCGCGAGAGCAAGCGGACCUCAUAAAGUGCGUCGUAGUCCGGAUUGGAGUCUGCAACUCGACUCCAUGAAGUCGGAAUCGCUAGUAAUCGUAAAUCAGAAUGUUACGGUGAAUACGUUCCCGGGCCUUGUACACACCGCCCGUCACACCAUGGGAGUGGGUUGCAAAAGAAGUAGAUAGCUUAACCUUCGGGAGGGCGUUUACCACUUUGUGAUUCAUGACUGGGGUGAAGUCGUAACAAGGUAAGCGUAGCGAG
rnacentral:rRNA from 1 species